CUGGCUCAGAACGAACGCUGGCGGCGCGUCUUAAGCAUGCAAGUCGGGCGGCAAGGAUGUGCUUGCACAUCCCUAGAGCGGCGGACUGGUGAGUAACGCGUGGGUGACGCACCCUCCGGACGGGGAUAGCCUGCAGAAAUGCAGGGUAAUACCGGAUACGGUUCCGUGUCCUGGAAGCACGGAAGGAAAGGAGCUUCGGCUCCGCCGGAGGAGCGGCCUGCGGCCCAUCAGCUAGUCGGCGGGGUAAAGGCCCACCGAGGCGAUGACGGGUACCCGGCCUGAGAGGGUGAGCGGGCACAUUGGGACUGAGAUACGGCCCAGACUCCUACGGGAGGCAGCAGCUAAGAAUAUUCCGCAAUGGGCGAAAGCCUGACGGAGCGACGCCGCGUGGACGAUGAAAAGGGCCGGAAGGUUGCAGAGUCCUUUGGCACGCGAGGAAGGAGCGGGGAAGGGAAUGUCCCCGCGGUGACUGUAGCGUGAGAACAAGCACCGGCUAAUUACGUGCCAGCCGCAGC
rnacentral:rRNA from 1 species